AUGCCCAAGCGCACCAUGGGAGGGAGGGCCGACGCCGGGGCCGACGCCACGGCGCACGAAGCAUCCAAGCACUGUGCAAAGCUGCACAUGGAGAAACCCCUCCCCGCCGGCGAGGGGUCCAACCGGCAGAAGGGCGUCCUUGACGUUGUCGACCACGUCCAGGCUCCGGUGCAGGUGUCACCUAUGCCGGAGCAGGUGGCUCCUCCGCCGGAGCAGGUGACUCCUCUUCCAUGCCAUGUGCCUCCUCUGCCACACCAUCUGCCUCCUCUGCCACACCAUCUGCCUCCUCUGCCGCAGCCCGUGGUCAACGUCGACGGUGAUGACGACGACAAAGAGGUAGCUGCUCUGGCUCCUCAGACAGAGCAGGUGUCUCCUCUGCCGCGGGUGACGCCUCCUGUGCCCGAGCCUGUGGUCGUCGGCGAUGUCAACAAAGAAGACGUUUGGUGA
rnacentral:rRNA from 1 species